CUUGUUUCCGAUGAAACCAUACUUUCCAGGACACCCACUUAUGGGACAUCCCCUUUACUUUAAUUUCUGAUGUGGAAUUUUAAUUCAUCUUGCCCAUGAAUCCAUGUCAUGGUGGGUUCUAAUGUAGUGAUAUAAUGGAUGAACUAGCUUGGUGUUUGUAAGUUAAAAUAUUUUAUAAUCUGCAAUCUAUGUUUUCAAGGCGUCCAGGCGCUUUAAGGCGCUGGGGGGGCGCCUCAACGCCUAGGCGCUCAAAGCGCGAGGCGAGGCGACGCCUUAGACACUUAUUAUUAGGCGCUAGGGGUACUAAUAUGGCAGCCAUGAGUGGACAUGUAACUGAUUCAUACCUUGAAUUUCCUGGUUGUUGAGCCCACAUAGCAUCCAUUCCUCCCAUCUUGUUUCCCAUUUCUGCCUUCCACAAUAGAAAUCUGCAUAAAGAUGAACAUAUAUCAUAUAUGGUUAAAACUAGACUUAAUAAUUAAUAGAUCACCAUUGGUAAAAAACAGAGUAAAUGACAGAAAAAGUGCAAAACAAGAUGACAAACAUGAGUGCAUUACAUAUUACAUAAACUAGGUCCACAACACAAUAAAUUAGGUUCACAAGUUCACAACAUAAAUUAGGUUCCAAACAGGCAAACACAUGAUCAUAAGCAAGGCUGGCCACACUCAAUUCUCAAUAGCCAUCAUCGAACUCAUCCAUGAUAGCAUUUGUGUUGUCUUCGCCAUCUUGGUCAGCACUAGUUGGAUCUUCAUCAUCAUCGGUCACAUCAACAUCAUCUUGAAGAAAGUCUGAAUCAUCAUCCUCUCCAUUGGGGAUACUUGAUUGUUGUUCUUGGUCAUCCUCUUCGUCAUCUUCAUGAAGAAAUGUUGGUGACGGAGCAGCCCUUUUGCGCUGCCUUUGGUACUGGACAUUAACAUUUGAGGCCCCCCUUGCCAUGGUGCUAGCUCUAGGAAAGUUGCGACCUUGCAGCGACGAACUUGCACCAACAGCCUCAUCAACAAGCUCCCAUGAAAUGUCAUCGGGACACCCUCGAGCACCUUGGGGUGGAGAUAUUGUUGGGUCAACCCACUCAUUGCCCCAAUCAAAAUCCUCAAUGACUAGAGGGUCAUAGUUAUUGCCACCCAUCUUCUCACGCCUCUUUUGAAACCUAUCCAAGUUCUUCCGGUUGUAUGAUACAAAGACAUUGUCAUUCAAGAGUCGGUGUUGUAACCGGUUCCUUUUCUUGGUAUGGAUCUACAAAUAGCAAAUAGAGUGAAUAAAUAAGUUGCUGAGAUUACUUGCUGAAAGCCUGAAACUAACUUCCUCUUGAUGAAAUAAAGACAAAGAAGUUACUCACAUGUUCAAAUGCGCUCCAAUUCCUCUCACAACCGGAUGAUGAAGCACAAAGACUAACAGUACGCUUUGCAAACCUUUGUAGCUCAACUGCCCGACCAGCAUAUGAACGCCACCAAUCAACUAAAAUGGUAAAAUAAACACACACAUGCAUUAGGAGUUUGUACUUUGUACAGAAAAUAACAUGCUGAAAUUAACUUGCUUGUUGCUGAAAUUAACUUUAGUUCACUUACGAGGGUUUUUUCCGACCAUGUUAUCGAUUGCCAUCUGAUUAGCAAAGGGUCCUCUCUUGUCCUCAUAGUCAACGGCUUGUGCAUCAAUCUUGUUGCGAGUAUUGACAUCAAGUACUGUUCGUGCAAGGACAUCAUUAAAACAACUUCUUAGCUCACCAAUUAGGGCAUCAUCACCACUCUCAACAAUAGAGAAGUAUUUUCCAGGGUUCAAAAACAAAGCAGCCCCAUAUAAUGGAUGGUCCAUUUGAUUCUCCCAACGUUUGUCAACAAUGUCAAUGAUCUUCUUGAGCAAAGCUUGCUUGUUUUGGUGGGGAAAACCUUGAUUGAUCUUCUCCUUUGCAAACCUCAUUAAUGCUGUCAUUUCUGGCAUGGCAGGAAUCUCAUCACCAUCCGCUACCCUAAGCACUCGAAGUAGUGGACCUGAAGCUCUAAGCAAGGUUUACAAGUCGACAAGUCGACGAGUCGUUCUGAGGUAGAGACUCAUAGACUAAUCGAGACUAGUCUAGACUAGUGCUAGACUAGUCGACAUGGUACUGUAGUACUCAGCUACUAAUACCUAGUGGUAGUAUGUAGUAUAUACUAACAGUACAGUAUGCAAUAAAACCAGCCACUGUCUAAAUCAUUGAGCUAUGCAGUGUUCUGGGCCCAAGUGGGUAUGGAAUGGGACCAGCCACUGUCUAAAUACUAGCCCAGCACCACGCAUCACCCCCCAGCUGGCCCAUUUGGGCCCAAAUGGCCAGCCUACUUAGCCCCCAGCCACUGGAACCCUAGCUCCCGACCUCUCCAAUCGCCGCCGCCAGCGCCAUCACGCACGAGAGCACGCGCGCACGCGACCCGCGCCUCCUGCCGCCUUCCGCCGGUCCCGGCCGCUGCCGCCGGCGAGCCCGCCGACCACCGCCAUGCCUCCUCCUUUCCUCUCCUCUCUCUCUCCCUUCCUUCUCUCCCGUCUCAAGGCCGCGUGCCCCUACGGGUCACGGCCAUGGCCGCCGCCUGAGCAUGAGCUCCGGCCGGCCGCCGCACCUGGCUGCGCCAUCCGCCGUCCCUGCGGUGGGUGGUGCGGUGGGUGGCGGCGGCGGCGGCAGGGCAGUGGGUGCUGGCGGCGCCUCGUCCCAGCUGAGGCAGCUCUCUUUUUUGAGUCGCUCGACUCAUAUAUGUCGACUAGUCCAGACUAGUCGUCGACUAGUCCAUCCACGGCUCGACUCGUAUUUGUAGUCUACACGAGAAAAUGAGUCGACAUCCACUCUGCGACUCGUAGACUAGUCGAGCGACUAGUCUAGACUAGUCGUUCGACUCGUAAUCACUGGCUCUAAGGCAGUCCUCAAUUGCAUGCCACCAAUCUGCUGAAAGCACAAUGUCUUGCACAUUCAAACCGGCUGCAGUUUUCGCCAAUUUGUUUCCGACCCAUGCUUGACAUGUAAAUAGACUCCUCAAUGCUUGCUUGUGCUUGACCAAACUCUUAAGAGCAAGAAUGGAUGUGGCAAAGCGAGUGGCUGCGGGUCUCACAAGAUCCAGCCCACCCGUUGCCUUCCUCAUUAGACUAAGAAUUCUGCCAUGCCUAUAGAUGAAAGUGGUGACUCGUCUACCCCGUGCAAUAGGCUUCUUAAAUGCCUUUAGCUUCCCUAUAUCUUCCAACAUUAGGUCCAAGCAAUGGCAUGCACAUGGACUCCAAUAUAGUGUAGGAAUCCUUUCCAUUAGUAUCUUGCCCGCUGCCUUGUAGUUCGCACCAUUGUCGGUGACAACUUGGACAACAUACUCUUUACCGACAUCCUCGAUUCUCUUCUCUAGCAAAUCUGCUAUCAUCCGAGCAUCUUGGCAUUCACUUGAUGCAUCAACCGACUCCAAGAAGUAAGUGCCCGCCGGGCUGUUUACAAGGAAGUUGAUCAAGUGGCGUCCCCUUUUAUCAGACCAGCCAUCUGACAUUAGUGUGCAGCCAUAUUGCUUCCAUGCUACCUCGUGCGUCACCCUCAACUUUUUUGUUUCCUUGACACAAUCCCUAAGCAAUGGCUCCCGCAGCUCAUGAGGAGAAGGAGGCUUGUAACCCGGGCCAUAUUGACAAGAGGCUUCUAUUGCAAUCUGGAAUUGCCUAGAGCUUGCAACAUUGAAAAGAAUGCCACACUCAUAGAAAAACAAUGCCCACUGCAUACUCACAUAGUGCCUCUCUUCCGGUGUUUUUGUGCUGGACUCCAUGGUGCUUUGAGAGCAACCGGAGCGUCUUUCAUCGACAACAUCCUCAGGUUUUUUCCUAAGCAUGGAAACAAUUGACUUGGUUGCAACAGAUUGAAACUUUUUGCCUGACAUUUUUACUGCAAAGGCUUUCUUGUUCUUCUUGGCUGCUGUCCCUGAACUUGGUCUUGUAGCGAAGCCUUGAACUGCUGCUGCAUUAGUGGAGCUUUGAACUGUCCCUGCUGCAUCUACCUCCACUACUACAUCAUCAUCAUCAUCUGGCUGUCCUAUGUUUCUCCUAUUCUUUUCCAAAUAUUCUAACAUCUCCCUCCUAAGCUGUGUGGUAGCCUUUGGACAACCUGUUGCAUCCCCACCAGUGCCAGCAAGAUGCUCUUUGUGUCUCUUGAUCCCUCCUUUAGUUAUCUUGCCACAAAGAUUGCACACAACAUUAUUGAUGUUGCCAGGUUUCAACCAAUACCCAUAAUUCCAGCCUGGAUCAUUUGACCUCCGUGGCCUGCGUUCUGGAUCUUCCAUUGGAUCAUAAGCAUCACCACCCCCAUUAGCUCCUGCAUCUGCCAUUGUGGGACUGCAAAGUGCAAAGUGCAAACAAUUAACAAUAUAAUAGAGGGCACAGCCGCAGAGGACAAACAGCUACUAUUCUAAUAAUAAGCUAGUAUAAAGAAGAUCCACUAACCUACUAUUCUAAUCAGCUAACAAGGACAAUCAGCAACUAUUUUAAUCACAACUUGCAGCUUACACUACUAUAAUAGAGGGCAGUGGGCAGAGGGCAGAGGCACAAGCAGCACAUCUACACAUGCAUAUACUAAACAGAGGGUUUAGAGGCAAGGCAGUGAGGCACAAGCAGCAGCAGCACCAUCAGAAAACAUGGGCAGGUGAGGGGAAAAGAGAGGCAGAGAGGAGCCGUACCUUGGGAGAGGGCCACCGUCGGCGGAGGAGAUUGGCCGGAGAGGGGGAGGGCCGGCGGAGAUGGAUCUUGGCCGGAGAGGGGAAGGGCCUGCGGAGGAGGAGCUUGGCCGGAGAGGGGGAGGCCGGCGGAGGAGCGGAUCUGGGCCGGCGGCGUGAGAGGAGAGAGCUCCUCUCUCUUUUCCCCUUGAUUUGGAGUCACGGGGCGUCCAAAAUCAACUAAAGCGGCGCCUUAUCCGCCUAGGCGAUGCCUUGGACGCCUCAACAGCACAAGGCGGACGCCUUAGAUAGAAAACUAAGGCGACGAUGACGCCUUGACGUCCCCGAGCGCUCUGACGCCUAGGCGACGCCUUGAAAACAUAGUCUGCAAUACUCAUUGGCACUCUUGAGACUACUUUACCCACUUUACCCUCUCUUCCAAUUUGUGUUCAUCAACCUAGUUGUAGAGUCAUUAUGUCAUAUUAGCGUUCUUUGUUGUUGAGCUUAGACAAACUAUUUCAUUGGAUUGCGAAUUUGUCAGCAACAUGGGAAACGGGGUCCCCCGUGCCUACUGGAGAUGGGCCUAGCUUUAUGUCUAAUACUUAAAGAAAGAGAGAAAACCAUACUCGGGGCCUCCCAAGCAUGAAGAGACUGGCAAUCACAGGGAAUCUGUAGUGUUUCCCAAGAUGGGAAUUGGGACUGCUAGAUUCUCUUCCCAUUUGUGUUCAUCAACCUAGUUUGUAGUUUCAUUAUGUCAUAUUAGCGUUCUUUGUUGUUGAGCUUAGACAAACUAUUUCAUUGGAUUGCGAAUUUGUCAGCAACAUGGGAAACGGGGUUCCCCGUGCCUACUGGAGAUGGGCCUAGCUUUAUGUCUAAUACUUAAAGAAAGAGAGAAAACCAUACUCGGGGCCUCCCAAGCAUGAAGACACUGACAAUCACAGGGAAUCUGUAGAGUUGGUCGGGAUCCUCCCGAUCAACUACCCUCCCCCGAGCAACUGAUCCUCGCCUGCCGAUCGUUUAAGGGGCCCACAAGUUGGCAAAAGAUCAAGCACAUGCUUGGUCACUUCUCUUCGGGCUUUCCGUGAGACCCGAGGCCACAAGCACAUUAAUAGCUAUGCCUGCAUGUCUAUGCAACCUACGGUUCAUAAGUUAUGAUGAUUCUGAACAGUAAGUCGGUUCGCUCCGAACCGAGGUGAUAUAGCCUGCCGCGUAUCAUGAGCGCAGGUCAUUUUUUUUUACUAUCAACAUGCUGGAUGUAGCUUGUCUCUUCGGCUGUCUCCCGCUGGCAAGUUGGACCUGGCGAGCUGUGUACGGUUGGAGAGGUUUGACUCGUCAACACGACCUACUCCCACUGCCCUAUCCUCUAACGGACCCGCGUGGGCUGCACAGGCUAGGUCGCCCAAGAUCGAUAGUGGCUUGGUUUGUAACAGGAUAUUGUGGUCCCCCCAGGCCCUAUAUAAGAGGAGGACCAAGGCAGUCCAAUGGUUGUCGCACUCGCAUCGCUGGCGAAUUUCGGAGGAAAGGUUGGAGUCCUUUAGUAAAAGUUUCUCCAAUAUUUGUCUGAAGGUUGUAUCUGAAGUAUAGCUUGCUGCCACUUCCUGUGACCGUCACAGGAAUGAUUUGAGAAAUUGCCAUUAAUGAACAACAUUUCCUUGAUAAGGCACCAGCUACUCUGUUAAGGGCGCCUUUCUUGUAUUGUAUUCUGAAACCAAAUUCUAGCAACUUCAUCACGAGCUUAUGGUUUGCUUAGCACCUAUAGCUCGUACCUCUGCUUGCAGUGUUGUUAUGUCUGAUCUGACAGACUGUGUUUCCUUGUGGUUCUCAAAGACCUCGGAUCGCAUGCCCAGGAGAUCUUGUAGUUCCCCGUCAUCAUUUCCCACCUUGCUCCUCCCCAUCUGGAUCUGGCCUUCAGGAGAGAGAAUUUCACAUCAGAACUAGUCCAGCAACUGGAUCUCCCACACCAGAUCUCGUUGUCGAACUGCGCUGCCGACAAAGUGGUGUACUAAAGCAGCACAAGGUUGUGGAGGAACAACUUACAAAGUAUACAACGCGAGUGUUGAUGGAACUACUUCUAUGUGCUGCGCUAGAUAUCGUUCUAGAGGCGGAAACAGGCUAAUGUGGCAGCAGGAGUUCAAUCCAAAUUUCCUAGAGCACAAGAUCUACUCCAAGAUCUUAGAUAAGAACAUCAAGUUCUACUAUAGGUAGUGGGGGUACAUAGUAUGCUUACAAACUAGAGGUGAGGACCUCUAUUUAUAGGGCUUUGGGAAGCCUUCACAUCUCACUUCUACUUAUAGCUAGAACACCCUAGAAAACAUUACUUAAGAUUCAUCAUUGUACUCAUAGCUACUCGUAGCUAGAAGACUCUAGAAAACAGUAGCCAGGGUUAAGAAAAGAAAAGAAAUACUAGACUAGACACUAGAGUAGAAGUAUAUAGAAGUAGCCAAACAGAUUUGACAUCUGACUUCAUUUUUCCUUUCCUCAUCUAUUGUUCCUCAUCAUUCUCCAUUGAUUGUUUGUAACUCGACCUUGAGUUAUCUUCAGAGCCCUUCUUCUGGGUGGAGUCAAGUCCGCAACAAUGAAAGUGUUGGAUAUACCCAUGUCGCUUGGAAGAUCUGUCACGCAGGCAUUAUUAUUUAUCUUCCUCAUAAUAGAGAAGGGCCCAUACCCUCGCUGCCUAAGCUUCCCUUUAACACCUAAAGGCAGCCUCUCUUUUCGGAGGUAGACCAUCACCUUAUCAUCAACUUGGAAUGUUUUCGGCCUCCUUUUGCAGUCAGCAAGUUGUUUAUAUUUCUGAUUUUGUGCAUCCAAAACACCACAAAUUUCUUAAAAAUAACUCAGUGUAAUUACCAAUAAAGGGCAAUGCUGAUUUUGAGUUUUCCCUUGAUGGUAGCUUCACCACGUCCACCGUAUUUGUUGGAACUUUAGUGUAAACAAUAGAAAAAAGACUCCUUCCUGUGGACCUAUGCUUAGAGCUGUUGUAGGAGAACUCGGCAAAAAGCUAAAUCCCAUUGUCCCUUCAUGUCUCCACAAAUGCAAAGGAUCAGAUUACCCAAAAACUUGUUCACCACUUCCGUUUGUCCAUCUGCUUGUGAAUGGGCAGUGCUAGAAUUUUUUAAUUCAGUGUUGAAUUGCUUCCACAAAGUGAGCCAAAAUGCAGCAAGAAACUUGCUAUCAUGGUCUAAGACGAUGAAUCUUGCAACUCCAUGAAGUCCGACAGCUUCUCAAAAGAAUUGGUUUGCCACAUGAUGAUCCAUCUUAGAGAAUCUGUCCAGAACAACAGACACCACAUCACUCCCUCGUCUUAUUGUUGGCAAACCCAAGACGAAGUCCAUAGAGGUAUCCUCCCACGGAGCAACAGGAACAGGCAAAAGCAUGUAUAACCCUAUAUUCUUUACUUGGAACUUGGUCUUUGCAGUUUUGACAUAUGGGGCACCGUUGAACAAACUUUUGAGCAUCUCUUUUGUGUUGUGGCCAAAAGUAACAAGCCUUCAGGUUAGUGAUAGUCUUGUCGCGUCCAACAUGGCCACUAAGAUCACUUGAACACUUGAACGGAGCUCUCUAAUUAGUUUGUCAUAUAGAGAACUCCUUGGGAUGCACAAACGAUCAUUUUUUAAGAGAUAGCCAUCUUGCACCAAAUAGUCAUCACAUAAUGGUUGGCCCGUGCUGUGCUUUACCCAAACAUGGCCAAAGUCUUCACCAUCCUCAUACAAUUCCUUUAUUUGAUCCAUGCCUGGAUGUUUAACCUCAAAAAAAGUCAAGAGGCAUGCAUGACGACUCAACGCAUCGACCAUUCGGUUAGUUGUUCCAGAUUUAUGCACGAUGAGGUAGUUAAACCUCUCCAAAUAUGUUGCCCAUCUUGCUAGCAUGCGCUCAACAUGCUUUUGAUUUCUGAAAUGUUUCAAGGAUUGAUGGUCACUGUAAACAAUGAACUCUUUAGGCGGCAAAUAGACUUCCCAAGUUUUCAAAGCUCUGAAAAUGACAUACAAUUCUUGCUGAUAAGUACUCUUCUGCCUUGGUUCGCUUAAUUUCUCACCGAAGAAAGCAAUAGGCUUCCUUCUUGAGAGAGAACAACACCAAUGCGUACUCCACUUGCAUCACACUCCAACUCAAAAGUCUUAUUAAAAUGCGAUAACACCACGACAGGAGCUUGUGAGAGUUUUUGCUUGAUCUCAUUGAAACUAGUUUCGGCCGCUUUCGUCUAUUGGAACUUUCCUUUCUUCAAACACCUGGUAAUUGGUGCCAUGAUAGUGCUGAAAUUCCUCUUAAAUCGCCUAUAGAAAGUUAUAAGGCCAUGAAAACUUCUUACCUCAGAAAUGGUCUUUGGAGUUAUCCAUUCUCGGUCUCGGUAAUUGGUGCCAUGAUAGUGUGCUGAAAUUCUUCACAGAUCGCCUAUAGAAAGUUGCAAGGCCAUGAAAAUUGCUUACCUCAUAAAUGGUCUUCGGAGUUGGUCAUUCUCAGAUUGCUUCAACCUUAAAAUUAUCAACACGAUUACCGUCACAUGUUAUGUCAAAUCCUAGGGAAAGAAGUUGUGUUUGCAGGAAAACACAUUUCUUCAAGUUGACGUAGAGCUCAUUUUCCUUUAGUACUCUUGGCACCUUCCGAAUGUGAUCUAAGUGUUUAUCCUCAUCCUUGCUAUAGAUCAAGAUGUCAUCAAAAUAAACCGCAACAAAGUGGGAUAAGAAGGGCCAAAGGACUUGGUUCAUCAAAUGCAUGAAUGUACUUGGUGGAUUUGAGAGUUUGAAUGCCAUGACUAGCCAUUCAAAAAACCUUUCCAUUCAUCUCCGGAUCUGAUGCGAAUUUGAUGAUAUCCGCUUCUAAAAUCUAGCUUUGUGAACACUCUUGCUCCACUAAGCUGAUUCAACAUAUCAUCCGGACAGGGAAUAGGGAACCUGUACCUUACAGUGAUCUUGUUGAUGUCUUUACUGUCCACACGCAUGCAGCAAGAUCCAUCUUUCUUUGGCGUGAGUAGGGCUCGUACAUCACAUGGGCUAAUACUUUCUUGAAUGUGUCCUUUUUGCAGCAAUUCCUCCACUUUCUCCUUCAAUAUGUCAUGCUCUUUUGGGAUCAUUCGGUAGUGUGGAAGAUUAGGAAGACUUGCUCCCGGAAUUAAGUCAAUUCUAUGUUGAAAUCCUCUCAUUGGUGGCAGGCCUUGUGGCUCUCCAAGUAUUUUCUGAAAUUCUGCUAA